CUAGGGGUUAGGAAAUAGAGAGGUUAUGGGUAAGACUAGGGGUUAGAAAAAAGAGAGGUUAUGGUAAGACUAGGGGUUAGGAAAUAGAGAGGUUAGAAGUUAGACCAGGAUAUAGAGAGGUUAGAGGUUAGACUGGGGGCUAGGAUAUAGAGAGGUUAGGGGUUAGACUGGGGGCUAGGAAAUAGAGAGGUUAGGCGUAAGACCAGGAUAUAGAGAGGUUAGGGGUUAGACUGGGGGCAAGGGUAUAGAGAAGUUAGAGGUUAGACCAGGGUAUAGAGAGGUUAGGGGUUAGACUGGGGGCAAGGGUAUAGAGAGGUUAGAGGUUAGACCAGGGUAUAGAGAGGUUAGAGGUUAGACCAGGAUAUAUAGAGGUUUGGGGUUAGACUGGGGGCUAGGAUAUAGAGAGGUUAGAGGUUAGACCAGGAUAUAGAGAGGUUAGAAAAGGAAGUGAUUUAAGUGGAGAGAAUGAGGAUGGACAAGUGAGAUACAGACGAUAUCUCAGAGAGCUCUUUG
ensembl:lncRNA